AACGCACAUUGCGCCCCUCGGUAUUCCGUGGGGCAUGCCUGUUCGAGCGUCAUUUACACCCUCAAGCUAUGCUUGGUGUUGGGCGUCUGUCCCGCCUCCGUGCGCGGACUCGCCUCAAAGUCAUUGGCAGCGGUCUCGUCGGCUUCUCGCGCAGCACAUUUGCGCUUCUCGGAGCCCCGGCGGAUCAGCGUCCAGCAAGCAAUUUUAUGACUUGACCUCGGAUCAGGUAGGGAUACCCGCUGAACUUAA
rnacentral:misc_RNA from 1 species